rnacentral:rRNA from 1 species
UACGGGGGGAGCAAGCGUUGUUCGGAUUUACUGGGCGUAAAGGGCGCGUAGGCGGCGUGACAAGUCACUUGUGAAAUCUCCGGGCUUAACUCGGAGCGGCCAAGUGAUACUGUCGUGCUAGAGUGCGGAAGGGGCUACUGGAAUUCUCGGUGUAGCGGUGAAAUGCGUAGAUAUCGAGAGGAACACCUGCGGCGAAGGCGGGUAGCUGGGCCGACACUGACGCUGAGGCGCGAAAGCUAGGGGAGCGAACGGG